rnacentral:rRNA from 1 species
AUUAUCACUCGGCUCGUGGAUCGAUGAAGACCGCAGCUAAAUGCGCGUCACAAUGUGAACUGCAGGACACAUGAACACCGAUAAGUUGAACGCAUAUUGCGCAUCGUGCGACACAGCUCGAUGUACACAUUUUUGAGUGCCCAUAUUUGACCUAUUCAAGUCAAACUACGUACCUCCGUACGUGCAUAAUGAUGAAAGAGUUUGGAUACAAAUCAUCCUCCUCUUGCAUUGAAAGCGCAGCGUGUAGCAACCCCGGGUUUAACUUGCAAAGUGGCCAUGGGGCUGACACCUCACCACCAUCAGCGUGCUGUGUAGCGUGUUCGGCCCAGUUCGGUCAUCGCUCCUACCAUACGGGGAAGCACACACUGUUGCGCGUAUCUCGUGGUUACCCAACCAUAGCAGCAGAGAUACAAAACCAGCUCCUAGCGACGGGAGCUCAUGGGCCUCAAAUAAUGUGUGACUACCCCCUAAAUUUAAGCAUA